rnacentral:rRNA from 1 species
CGUAGGGUGCAAGCGUUGUCCGGAAUUAUUGGGCGUAAAGAGCUCGUAGGUGGUUCGUCGCGUCUGCUGUGAAAGUCCGAGGCUUAACCUCGGAUCUGCAGUGGGUACGGGCGGACUAGAGUGCGGUAGAGGAGAUCGGAAUUCCUGGUGUAGCGGUGGAAUGCGCAGAUAUCAGGAGGAACACCGGUGGCGAAGGCGGAUCUCUGGGCCGUAACUGACGCUGAGGAGCGAAAGCAUGGGAGCGAACAGGCUU